rnacentral:rRNA from 1 species
GAAAGUAAAGAAGGGCGCAUGGCGGAUGCCUUGGCUCUCGGAGGCGAUGAAGGACGUGAUAAGCUGCGAUAAGCUUUGGGGAGGUGCAAAUGACCUUUGAUCCAGAGAUUUCCGAAUGGGACAACCCAAUAUCUUGAAGAGGUAUUAUCUUACUAUGUAAGAGGCUAACGCAGGGAACUGAAACAUCUUAGUACCUGCAGGAAAAGAAAAUAAACAAUGAUUCCCCCAGUAGUGGCGAGCGAACGGGGAACAGCCCAAACCAUCCAUGUUACGGCAUGGGUGGGGUUGUAGGACUACGCCGUUGCAUGAAGACAUCAGAGAAGAACUUUCUGGAAAGAAAGACCAUAGAGCAUGACAGUUGCGUAUUCGAAUGUUGUCGAAGCAUAGUAGUAUCCUGAGUAGCGCGGAGCACGAGGAAUUCUGCGUGAAUCUGCCGGGACCAUCCGGUAAGGCUAAAUACUCCCGAGAGACCGAUAGCGAACCAGUACCGUGAGGGAAAGGUGAAAAGCACUUCGAACAGAAGAGUGAAAUAGUUCCUGAAACCGUGCGCCUACAAGCGGUCGGAGCUCGUUAAUGAGUGACGGCGUGCCUUUUGCAUAAUGAACCUACGAGUUGCCUUUGCCGGCAAGGUUAAGUGUGACGACACACGUAUCCGAAGCGAAAGCGAGUCUGAACAGGGCGUAUAGUCGGCAGUGGCAGACGCGAAACCAAGUGAUCUACCCUUGGCCAGGUUGAAGGCUGGGUAACACCAGCUGGAGGACCGCACCAAUAAGCGUUGAAAAGCUUCUGGAUGAGCUGAGGGUAGGGGUGAAAGGCUAAUCAAACUUGGAGAUAGCUCGUACUCCCCGAAAUGCAUUUAGGUGCAGCCUUGCGGGUUACUGAUGUGAGGUAGAGCGACUGAUAAGAUGCGAGGGCUUCACCGCCUAUCAAGUCUUGACAAACUCCGAAUGCGCAUCAGUUCUACCGCAGGAGUGAGGGCAUGGGUGCUAAGGUCCGUGCCCGAGAGGAGAAGAAUCCGGACCACCUGCUAAGGUCCCGAAAUGACAGCUAAGUUAAACUAACGAAGUCUGACUGCUAAGACAGCUAGGAUGUUGGCUUGGAAGCAGCCAUUCAUUUAAAGAGUGCGUAACAGCUCACUAGUCGAGGAGUCGGGCGUGGAUAAUAAUCGGGUAUCAAGUUGUCUACCGAAGCAGUGGGAUCAUUAAUAUGAUCGGUAGGGGAGCAUUCCAGUCGGCGUCGAAGGCGUACCGUGAGGUAUUCUGGAGCGUCUGGAAAAGCAAAUGUAGGUAUAAGUAACGAUAAAGGGGGCGGGAAACCCCCUCGCCGAAAGACUAAGGUUUCCUGAUCAACGCUAAUCGGAUCAGGGUCAGUCGGGUCCUAAGGCUCAGCCGAACGGCGAUGCCGAUGGCAGAAACGGUUAAUAUUCCGUUACUACCUUCAGGAGUGACGUGGAGACGCAGUAGUGACAGUGCCGCCAUCUGACGGAAUAGAUGGUUGAAGGGUGUAGGAGUCGAUCAUGGCAGGCAAAUCCACCAUGAGAUCCGAACCUGAUAGUAUGCCGCGUCCUUCGGGACAAGGCAAUAGUGCGCGUAAGCAUGCUGCCGAGAAAAUCCGCUAAACUUAAUCCUGGAGGUACCCGUACCGCAAACGGACACACGUAGUCGGGAUGAAUAUUCUAAGGCGCUUGAGUGAUUCACGGUUAAGGAACUAGGCAAACUGACCCUGUAACUUCGGGAUAAAGGGUCCCUACCCUUUUAUGGGAGGGCGCAGAGAAUCGGUCCAGGCAACUGUUUAACAAAAACACAGGGCUGUGCCAAAUCGAAAGAUCCAGUAUACAGCCUGACACCUGCCCGGUGCUGGAAGGUUAAGAGGAGAUGUCAUCGAUAAGAGAAGCGUUGAAUUGAAGCCCCAGUAAACGGCGGCCGUAACUAUAACGGUCCUAAGGUAGCGAAAUUCCUUGUCGGGUAAGUUCCGACCUGCACGAAUGGUGUAAUGAUCUGGACGCUGUCUCAACCGUGAGCUCAGUGAAAUUGUAGUAUCGGUGAAGAUGCCGAUUACCCGCGAUGGGACGAAAAGACCCCGUGAACCUUUACUAUAGCUUAUCAUUGAAUCUGGGCACGUGAUGUGUAGGAUAGGUCGGAGGCUUUGAAGCAGGUACGCCAGUAUUUGUGGAGCCGCUGUUGAAAUACGACCCUUUAUUUGUUUGGAUUCUAACCCGUGGAUACGGGGACAUUGAUUGGUGGGUAGUUUGACUGGGGUGGUCGCCUCCAAAAGCGUAACGGAGGCUUCUAAAGGUGCCCUCCGGCCGAUUGGUAACCGGCCUUAGAGUGUAAUGGCAUAAGGGCGCUUGACUGGGAGACUGACAAGUCGAUCAGGUAGGAAACUAGAGCAUAGUGAUCCGGUGUUUCCGUAUGGAAGGGACAUCGCUCAAAGGAUAAAAGGUACUCCGGGGAUAACAGGCUGAUCCCUCCCAAGAGCUCAUAUCGACGGAGUGGUUUGGCACCUCGAUGUCGGCUCGUCACAUCCUGGGGCUGGAGAAGGUCCCAAGGGUUGGGCUGUUCGCCCAUUAAAGUGGCACGCGAGCUGGGUUCAGAACGUCGUGAGACAGUUCGGUCUCUAUCUAUCGUGGGCGUAUGAAAUUUGCGUGGCUCUGACACUAGUACGAGAGGACCGUGUUGGACAGACCUCUGGUUUGCCGGUUGUGCCGCCAGGUGCAUUGCCGGGUAUCUAAGUCUGGAUCGGAUAAGUGCUGAAAGCAUCUAAGUACGAAGCCGGCCACAAGAUUAGAUUUCUCAGGGUCGUUGUAGACUACGACGUUGAUAGGAUGCAGGUGUAAAGAUGGAGACAUCAAAGCCGAGCAUUACUAAUUGCCCGUUCACUUUCCUUA